rnacentral:lncRNA from 1 species
AUUGUAAUGGCCAAUAAGAAGCUUGCACGUUCUUAAUAUUGACAUGAUAUGCAAUUGCCAAUGCAUAAACCGGUCGUUUCUACGUACCCUGUGACUCUAUUUGUAUUUUCUUUCACAGAAAGUUACUUAUUCAUAUGGAAAAGGAACAGACAAUCCGAUCACCUCAGUAUAUUUUUAUACCAAAGAUAAUGAUACGGACUGUUUUCCAAGCACCACGUCAAAAAAGGUAUUAGCUUAAGCGUGAUUUAGUAUAAAAAAAAUUGUUUUGCUUUAUUCAUUUUAAUAAGUUAUUGUUUUUGACUGUUUUUGUGACUUUUAUAGAUAUACAUACAUAUUAUAAAUGACACAUUUUACUUUUUUAAAUUGCUUUACAAAAAUGUCUUUGUUUCAUAAACAUAUCAAUAUGAAAAUGUUAUUCGGUAAUGGUAUUAUUUGUUUUAUUUCCAGACCUCACUGUUUUUGCCAGAAACAUUUCAAGAGGAAAUUCUUCGGGUGUAUUCAAAGAACGAUGAAAAAAUCGAAAUACUAAAGAAAGAAACAACUGAAUGUUUAAGACAGGUUGAAUUAUAUUCCGUAAACGAUUCAGCUACCAAACAAGAACAUCGAGAAAUUUUACCAGCUGAAACGGGUAAUAAACAAUAAAGUCAAAAGCAGAAGGAAUACAUUCGGAGAGGUCUAACUAAAAACAACAGAUUAACUUUCAUUAGUCGAUAAUUUUUAGGAUUAUCUAAACAUGAUUUAUUUGCCUUCUUUUAAUUAGCAAAAU